CUCUCUGCCUCUCUCUCGCCGCAUCUCUCUCUAUGGAGUAUCUCUCGAAAAACAAUGGUUUGAGUCAUGAGCGUGAGUAAAUCUUAAGCAAGAGUGAUGGAGGGUAUGCGUGACUCUAUUACUAUGGAGAUGGCAAGAGGAACUAGACUUCUAUAUUAGCAUCAAACAGAUACCAAAUCAAGCUGACGUGGACGAGGAUUAAAAGGAUAAGCGACUCUGGCGGACUGGGAAGGUUUGCAGUUGGGAUAGAGAAGGACGAAGAUGAAGUAUAAAUAGAGAGCUUGAUCGAUGAAGAGAGUUAUGCUUUGAUGUUGUAUGUAGAAAGACGAUAUGAGUCUUCUCUCUCAGUCGCCAUGAGACUGAUGAUUGCAUCUGUGUUCGCCAUGAGAGCAUAGUUGUAAUCGUACUCAAAGCUUCAUUCAUUCUUGUAAUUGGUUCGUGUUAUCAAUAAGAAGACAUUACGGAGUGUUUCAGAGAGAUCGGAGUUCAAGACUCUAUCACUGAGAUCAUUUUGUGCUGAGUGCUUUGUUUGCCACGAGUUUGAGAUCAUUGUUGAGUGCUUUGUUUGCUAUGAGUCUGAGAUAAUCAUUUUUGUAUGUGAAUUUAAAAGUUUAAUUAGUCUAUGUUUUCUCAGUUGAUCAUUGUGAAGUUUUGUACUCUCAAGUCAUUCAUGGAUCUUAUCAUUAUCAGUCACGAGUUUGUUUGCUGAGUCUGAGAUCAUUUGCUGAGUGCUUUGUUUGAUACGAGUUUGAGAUCAUUUUGUGUUGAGUGCUUUGUUUGCUAUGAGUCUGAGAUCAUGCUUAUGUUUAUGUUAUAUCAUUUGCUUUUAUAUGAAUUUAAAAGUUUAAUCAUAUCUGUUUCAGGACAGUAGAUCCCAUCUCAAUCUUAUAAUUGGAGAGUGAAGAAUGUGAAGAUUCAAGAAGAUUAUUUGUUUGGAGACAUCUUUUAAAUUUCAGUUUUAUAUAAUUUGAGUGUACUUUGAUAGUAUAUUAAAAUUUGAGUCUAUUUUGAGUUGUUUGAAAGUUUAUUAAAAUUUGAGUCUACUUUGAGUUGUUUGAAAGUUUAUUAAAAGAUUAUUAAAAUUUGAGUCUCUAUUUUAAAAUUUAA